AAAUGGGGAAAUUUCAGAGGCGUCAGGAUCGAACAUACCCAGGAAUACCAGGAAGUUCUUCCUCAAGAUCAUCCUGCUUUCGUUGCAUUUCCUCAGAUGAAGUACAACUUGGCUAUAUCCAAACACCACGAUGGCGAGGACUAUGUAGAUACCGUACAGUACGACAAACAGCGACUUCACGAUCCUCUACAAAAUCUAAAUCACUUUCUUAACGACGAAAAUAUCGAAAACUCAGACCUAGUAACGUGGGUCUCAGUUCGUUUUCUGCACCUUCCUACAAAUGAAGACUUCCCUAUGACUACUGGGGCUCCACGUGGAUUUCUUAUCCAACCAAUGAACUUCUUUCACGACACGCCCACUUUUGAUAUGCCCCAGUAUGACAUUUAUAAAAACGGGACCAUUAAAAACAAUCCAUACUUCAUUCACAAACAACACUCUAUAUUACCGGAAGACAUCGACCGCCCGGACUAUGCCUAGAAAAACAUUGACGUUCUAGCCGGAAAAGGAAUUUCAGGUGCUUACUCCUAAUGCAUUAACAAUGCAAACAAAGUACUGGAGAUAAAAAUAAAAUCAAAACCGUGUUCCUUAAACAAUCUUUCCGAAUGUUUGCUGCAAAAAUAUUUACCUUUAUUCUAACGUUCGAUAUACAUGUUCUAAAUAGACUUUUUGAGUGGUCAGACUAACCAUAAUCAAAUGUUGUCUAUUGAUUGUUUAACAAAAAUCACUACGCUUUGU
rnacentral:misc_RNA from 1 species